rnacentral:rRNA from 1 species
GACGAACGCUGGCGGCGUGCUUAACACAUGCAAGUCGAACGGAAAGGCCCUGCUUUUGUGGGGUGCUCGAGUGGCGAACGGGUGAGUAACACGUGAGUAACCUGCGCUUGACUUUGGGAUAACUUCAGGAAACUGGGGCUAAUACCGGAUAGGAGCUCCUGCUGCAUGGUGGGGGUUGGAGAGUUUCGGCGGUUGGGGAUGGACUCGCGGCUUAUCAGCUUGUUGGUGGGGUAGUGGCUUACCAAGGCUUUGACGGGUAGCCGGCCUGAGAGGGUGACCGGCCACAUUGGGCCUGAGAUACGGCCCAGACUCCUACGGGAGGCAGCAGUGGGGAAUAUUGCACAAUGGGCGGAAGCCUGAUGCAGCAACGCCGCGUGCGGGAUGACGGCCUUCGGGUUGUAACCCGCUUUCGCCUGUGACGAAGCGUGAGUGACGGUAAUGGGUAAAGAAGCACCGGCUAACUACGUG